GAGGAGGAGGAGGAGGAGGAGGAAGAGCUUAUCUCUGAACCAGCAUCAGGUCCAGCUUGUUUCACUUGUAAAAAGGACAUUUUGCACAAAAUUACGACUUUUUUUCAAGAUUUCUGAAGAUCUAAGAAAGACUCCAUUUUUUUAACGUACAAUUUUAGAAAUCUCACUUUGAAUUUUUCCCUCAAAUUCAGACUUUUUUCUAGAAAUUAAAAUGUUGUUCUGACUGAAGAUUAUCUGAAAAUCUCACAAUUCUGACUUUUUCUCAAAAUCAGAUUUGAUCCUGAAAAUCUAAAACUUUUUCUCAACAUCUCAGAACUCUUCAAAAGGUGCCACAGAACGCACCCAUCUGGUAUAUGAAGUGUUCUGACGUCCACAAGAAGGUAUUUCACUUUGGUUGAUCCAAAAAAGGUCCAGAUGCAGUUUUACAGACCCAUUUACUACCCUAUGAUUUGGUCCUAGAACUAAACGAGCUGAAUUGUCUCAUUUAAAUAAUGAUGACGAGCUCUGCUCUGAUUGGCUGGUUCACAAGUAGCAGUCCAUGGCUGCCUCAGAGCCCACAGAAGUAAGUGAAGUUAGCUAAACUGUGAGAAGGAACCAUGGAGGCUGUUGGCAUCAACCUCACAGUCUGAGACUCUAUCGGAGGAGGGAACCGAUGAUCUGAAGAACAGCCAGUUGGUCGGAGAUUGGAGAGCAGCGUUACGGAGUGGUGAGUGUUAGCGUUAGUGUUUCCAGCAGCUGGUGUGUGCAGAUGUGGGGCUGGAGGACCGUGUGUGACGUCACACACAGGGAGUGUUGUAAUGCGCCCGUUGUACCGCUCUGAUGCAUAUUCAAGAUUUGCACGUGAAGGAGGAAACACGGUGUUUGAGGUUCACGGUAUGUCAGCUCAGUGAUCCGAGCUCUCCUUAUUCCACUCUGCCAACGUGAAUACAGUUUUACAUUCUGUGGCUCCUUAAAAGCUUUUCUGAAAUUUCUAAAUUCUGACUUUUUCUCAAAUAUUGAGUUUUUCUUAAUAUCUCAAAAUUCUCUGAACAUCUCAAUAAUGUUAGCCUUUGCAGACCGUUGACAUGCACUAUCACCUUAAGCAUACUAAAGGAGAUUGAACGCCACAAAGAGAAGAAUAGGGCCUCUUUAACCAACAGGAAGUACCUGAUCCUGGCCGUCCAGUCUGGACUGUUUGUCGUCGAUGGGAAAGAGCAGCACAUUCCCCAGCUCCAAAUCUGAAAUGAAACACAUUUUGGAUUCAAUUCCAGUUUGACAGCAAUGGUACAAAGUACAUUCACUUUUAAUUCCCUGGAAGUGGAAGCUCUCGGUACGUCUUCCUGGUUAUUGGCCUGAUUGAUUUUCUAAUAUUACUCCCUUACCUUUCAUCUUGCCAGCCAACUCGUACUGUUUCCUGGGUUCAUCUGAUCUCACCUCCAGAGCCGUGAACAAACCCCCCCGACCCCAGCGCCCCGAGUCAUCUGCACAUGGAGCAGAGCGUUCAGAAACACAAGACAAACCGAUGAAGACGUGCUGCUCUCUUCCUCUUCAUACCGACACAGUGGACGAUGAUGGCGUCCCCCCGAGCGGCGUGGGGAUGGGUGACGUCUCCGAGGACGUAGCGGAUCGCCAAGCUGUCAGAAUCUGUGGAGGAAAUACUGCCGUUAUCUUCCUCGUCCUCCUCCUCCUCUUCCUCACUGUCUACAGACAGCAGGCAGCGGGAUCUGUAGCCAGAGGACUCCCACCACGCCAUCCUGCACCAUGACAGAAGUACAGGAGGAACCGGGUCAGAAUGACAGAUAAAGGGCUGAAACUAACGAUCAUUUAUGUCAAAACUCAGACGAUAUUCACUUUAAUAUCAUUAUAACCAAAAACACAUUCAGAAACCAUUGACCUCCAGACCAGAGGACAGGAAGUGAGGAGAUGCUGAGUCAUGUCAGAGUGAAGGACUCAUUCCUGCACCUCUCUAUAGACGCACAGGUUGAUCGAAAUCUUUACUUUUUCUUGUGUUUCUUCUCCUGCUGCCUCUUCUCCUCUUCCUCCUGCAGUUGGGCUCUCUUUGCCGCAGCUUCCUCCCUCCUCUUCUUCCUCAGCUGCAGCUCAUCUUCACUCAGAGCCUUCCUCUUCCUCACCGGCAUCCCGAGAGCGGCCGACAGAGAGACCUGGAGACAACGGAGGGAAUCAAACCGGUGUUUGCAGCCCUCUCUGUGUGGACUGAUGCCAUCAUUUAUAGUCGUGUGUGUUGUUUGAUUGAAAGUUAGUGGGUCCUUCAUCCUGCAGCGUCCAAAGUGGCAUCACUCUUCAACCUGGAGAGCGGUGCUAUUGAGAAUGAGAUCCUCACACUAAAUAAUGACACUGAGCUCAAAUCAAGAGACCUGACACAAAGGUCCAAUUCUGGAAUCUAAUGCAGAAAGAGAAGUGCCCCAACCUCAGACACACUGCAAAGAAGUUGACUGCACCUUUUGGAUCAACAUGUUUGUGUGAGUCUGCCUUUUCACAUAUGAACAUCAUUAAGUCAAAAUACAGAUCCACCAGGACUGAUGACCACCUUGCGGCCUGCUUACGGCUGGCAGCUCCUACUGUCCGGACUAUGAGAGACUAGCCUCCUCCUCUCAGUGCCAGAAGUCCCACUAAGGUAGAGAACCACUUUUCCAACUUGAAUUAGGCAUUGUAUUAAUUGGGUUGUUACGCUAUGGCUUUCGAUAUGGCUUGGUAGAUUUCGACACACUAUCAACUUUAAAAGUAGAUCUUGGUUCAAAAAAGGUUGGGCACCCCUGCUGUAUACUGUACCCCGUCAGUAAAACACAAACUAUAAGAGAUCAGUGUGUGAACCAUUGAACAAGCUACGGGUGUGUGUGUGUGUGUGUGAGCUUCUUCAGUGGGUUUCACUGCGACCACCAUGCCCUAAAUAGAGUGUGUUUACCGGACGAAGUGCCACAACCGCUGCCCACUUUGGAGAACUGAAAGAUAAUCAUCUCCCCAGAGCGUCAUCAUUAUCGUCUCUACGACAAGCAGCUGUCAGAGGUUCAACCAAGUUUAAGCGCUCUUUAUUUUCAGAGGCUGAAGUGCAGCACUACCAUCAUUCUGCUUUUCAAUUAAAGAGGCCCCAUUCUCCUUUCUAUAGCGUUGCCUCUCCUGUAGUGUGUUCUGUUGGUUUUAGUGCAUGUAAAUGGUCCGCUGAGGCUAGAAUCCCCCUCCCACCCCCGCUUGAAACACCUCCGUUGGAUUCCUUUGUUUACUUCCGGGAACAUAGUGACAUCACUCGUUUGAUUAGUGCUCCAACACGGGACCUCUCUAAGCUGACCAAUCAGAGCAGGCUGUCCCGAUCAUGUGAAAAGAAAGACAGUCUUACUCCGGCUUUGUGUCUGAGCGCUCGUCCCUCUCCGACGGCUCUCUGAAACUCGUCCUGCUGAUCCUCCAGGAGACGCUGGAAGCUGGUCUGGUCCUCAGCGCUCGGGUCCUUACUGUAGUCCCGCCCCUCGAAGAAGUACAUGUGGUCUGCAGAGGAGAACAGGGAGGGUGAGGCUCUCCUCACAUAUUCAGGACUGUGAACCCUGUGUUUUCAAAGCACCUGAACAUUCUAUCACAUUUUAUUUGAUUACUUUGAAACAGUUGUUUUAUAUUUCUUUUUGAAAUUAAGUUAAAGUUUUCUUUUUGCACGAUUUUUAUUUUCAUCUAUGUUUUGAUAUGAUUUCCAUUUUGGAACUCUUUUAUUUAGACCUCUUCUUUUAUAUUUCAGUUUCUUAUUUUAUUUGAAUGUUUAUGCUAUUUCUUUUUAUUUUUAUUAGAUUUUAUUGAAUGAAGAGAAACCAAAUGUCACAGAGGUUGUUGACACCCCAGAAAAACAGUGUGUCACGCUGUUGACCUCAAACCGGGUUAAAUACUCAGAUUCAUCUUGCAUGUAAUGGGCUUUGAGCACCAAGCGCUGUAUAAAUAACACGUAUUAUUAUUAAAUAUACAGAGUGAUUAAAGAGAUAACCCUACUCUGUUUGUCAGUUUCCUCCUCCUCCUCUUCCUCUUCCUCUCUGACAGUUCUGAAGUCUUCCUCCGCCCACUGACCGUCACGAGACGGGCCGAGGAUCUUCUCCAGUUUCACUUCCUGCACCGAGCUCUCUUCCGAUGACAGGAGCUUAUCUACCCCGAACUUCAAGAUCUCGCUGAGCUGCAGGAAACCCCAGAGAGACGAGCAGCGGAGAUAAGAGGCAGAGAAGAGGAAGCAGUGAUGCAGGAUUCAGAGAAACACUGACAGCUCACUCAUAUUCCAUUCUUACUCUGGAUAUGACGGCUGAUAGUGGUCAUCAUAUUCUGCCUAGCUAAUAUUUGAUGUGCUGAUCCUGUCAGGUUCUGUGUUGUUGUGUGAAGUACCUGCAGCCCUGCAGCCGCGGACUGAGCCUGGUCCAUCAGAGAGAAGCGUCCCUCCUCUAUCACCGUGUUGGUGAGGUGCAGCUUAGAAACCGCCCGGGAAUACAUGAUCUCCUCCACCGAGUCUUUGGCCAGGAGCCGGAUCACCUUCACAGGCCUGGAACAAAACAAAGUUAGGGAUGAGAAGGCUCUCCAGCUGUUGGACCCUGAAGGCAGCACCUCCCUGGUCCAAUGGGAUUUCUCCAUCCGAUUUUGUUUUAAUACAUGAACACAUUUAGCAACGUUCACCUGUUCUGCCCGAUGCGGUGGCAGCGAGCAGCCGCCUGCAGGUCGUUCUGAGGGUUGAAGUCACUGUCCAUGAAAAUGACCGUGUCAGCAGCUGUGAGGUUCAGACCCACACCCCCUGCAAACACAGAUCAGCAGCUGCAGAUUCAGAUCCUGAUGCUCACUUAUUGCACAAGAUGACUCUGUUAUCUACAAACCUGUCAGACUGCUGUCUAAAGAAGAAACACCCCCCCUGCUGCACCUUUAAAUCACUACAGGAACUCAGUGAGACACAAGGAAACCUGCCUCAGUUGUGUCUGUGAGGAAAUUCUAUUUAAGAAGCUGCUGCAAAAAUGAAAGACUUCAAAUCUCAAACAGAUUAGAUUACCGCUCCAGAUUGGAAGGACUGAGAGCUGCAUUUAAGGAGGGAUCAUUUGCAUUAAAAGCUAUAAUAUUUAUAAUAACUUCUCCCUCCUGUGAGUGGUUGAGCAUUCCCUCCUCACCUGCUUUCGUGCUGAGCAGGAACACAAAGAUGUGUUUGCUGCUGAAGUUCUUCACCGCCAGAUUCCUCUCCUCCCCGCGCACCGACCCGUCCAGACGCUCGUAGCUGAAACCUGAACACAAAGACUUUAUUCAGCGCCUUUCUGUGGAGAAAAAUGAAAAUUAAAUUCUUUAUCUUUGCUUUUAGAGAGGAGAUUCAGUACACUGCAGGUGCUGGCCUAUUGGGGUUCAGAUAUUGAAGGUGUGUGUCAGUGAGAGAAACAGGAGACAGGUGGAGUGUGUUCACCUCUGUACUCCAUGUAGUCCUGCAGGAUGUCCAGCAUCCUCGUCAUCUGAGAGAACAGCAGCACCCUGUGGCCCCUACACACACACACA